rnacentral:sRNA from 1 species
GACGGGUGUGGUGGUGCACACCUGUAAUCCCAGCUGCUUGAGAGGCUGAGGCAGGAGGAUUGCAAGUUCAAAGCCAGCCUCAG